GCCAGCAGCCAUAUCACUCUGCAACUCACAACUUGUAACCUACUGAAGCCAAGCAGGUGUGAGCCUCGUCAGUACCUGGAUGGGAGACCUCCUGGGAAAAACUAAGGUUGCUGCUGGAA
rfam:Lepisosteus oculatus linkage group LG11, whole genome shotgun sequence.